rnacentral:rRNA from 1 species
UACGUAGGGGGCGAGCGUUGUCCGGAUUCAUUGGGCGUAAAGCGCGCGUAGGCGGCCCCGCAAGUCGGCCGUGAAAUCUCCGGGCUCAACUCGGAGGGGUCGGGCGAGACUGCGAGGCUCGAGGUGGGCAGAGGGCAGUGGAAUUCCCGGUGUAGCGGUGAAAUGCGCAGAUAUCAGGAGGAACACCGGGGGCGAAGGCGGGUCUCUGGGCCGAUACUGACGCUGAGGAGCGAAAGCGUGGGGAGCGAACAGG